UACUAUAGCUUGACACUGAACAUUGAGCCUUGAUGUGUAGGAUAGGUGGGAGGCUUUGAAGUGUGGACGCCAGUCUGCAUGGAGCCGACCUUGAAAUACCACCCUUUAAUGUUUGAUGUUCUAACGUGGACCCGUGAUCCGGGUUGCGGACAGUGUCUGGUGGGUAGUUUGACUGGGGCGGUCUCCUCCUAAAGAGUAACGGAGGAGCACGAAGGUUGGCUAAUCCUGGUCGGACAUCAGGAGGUUAGUGCAAUGGCAUAAGCCAGCUUGACUGCGAGCGUGACGGCGCGAGCAGGUGCGAAAGCAGGUCAUAGUGAUCCGGUGGUUCUGAAUGGAAGGGCCAUCGCUCAACGGAUAAAAGGUACUCCGGGGAUAACAGGCUGAUACCGCCCAAGAGUUCAUAUCGACGGCGGUGUUUGGCACCUCGAUGUCGGCUCAUCACAUCCUGGGGCUGAAGUAGGUCCCAAGGGUAUGGCUGUUCGCCAUUUAAAGUGGUACGCGAGCUGGGUUUAGAACGUCGUGAGACAGUUCGGUCCCUAUCUGCCGUGGGCGCUGGAGAACUGAGGGGGGCUGCUCCUAGUACGAGAGGACCGGAGUGGACGCAUCACUGGUGUUCGGGUUGUCAUGCCAAUGGCACUGCCCGGUAGCUAAAUGCGGAAGAGAUAAGUGCUGAAAGCAUCUAAGCACGAAACUUGCCCCGA
rnacentral:rRNA from 2 species